UGGGUUUGACAUGGAUCGGGAGUGCUCAGAGAUGGGUGUGCCUCUUUUGGGGUCGGUUCACAGGUGGUGCAUGGCUGUCGUCAGCUCGUGUCGUGAGAUGUUGGGUUAAGUCCCGCAACGAGCGCAACCCUUGUUCACUGUUGCCAGCACGUUAUGGUGGGGACUCAGUGGAGACCGCCGGGGUCAACUCGGAGGAAGGUGGGGAUGACGUCAAGUCAUCAUGCCCCUUA
rnacentral:rRNA from 1 species